ACAUGCUUACAAAAUAGUGUUAAUGCAUAGGAUCCCAUUAGAACUCCGCAAUUAAGCACACUCAGGAUAGAGUAAUACUAGAAUGGGUGAUCGUCUGGGAAGUCCUAGUGUUUUACAUGCC
rnacentral:rRNA from 1 species